rnacentral:sRNA from 1 species
CUUGAGGCUGGAACAGUGACCAAGUGUAAUUUCGCUGGUGAUGGAAAGACAGGGGCAUCCUGGACAGACAACAUCAUGGCUCAAAAGUGUUCGGAGGGGGCUGCAGCAGAGAUCCGAGAGCAGGGGGACGGGGCAGAGGACGAGGAGUGGCCAGAAGAAAUUCAACAGCAGAUUGUUCGAGAGACUUUCCAUCUAGUCCUCAAGCGGGAUGACAACAUCUGUAACUUCUUGGAGGGUGGAAGUUUGAUUGGUGGCUCUGACUACAAACUGAUCUACCGGCACUAUGCUACCCUCUACUUUGUGUUUUGUGUGGAUUCGUCAGAGAGUGAACUUGGAAUCUUGGACCUCAUCCAGGUUUUUGUGGAAACUCUGGAUAAGUGUUUCGAAAAUGUGUGUGAAUUGGAUUUGAUCUUCCAUAUGGAUAAGUGCAAUUCCUGGGUCAUAGGUGAGGCCUCUAGAAGGAAGAAACAGGGGAAGCACAAAAGCACCAGCAGGGCUGCAGCACUGGCAAAAGAAGUCUGAGGCUCAAGGCCUCUGGACUGUAGGCCAUAGUAUCUGCCACUUCGUUAGAUAAUGCCAAACUUUCCAGAGUGAUUGUAUCCAUUUAUACUUCUACCAAUGGGGGGUGAGUGUUCCCAGUGCUCUGUAUGCUCACCAAA